rnacentral:rRNA from 1 species
UACGUAGGGUGCAAGCGUUGUCCGGAAUUAUUGGGCGUAAAGAGCUCGUAGGCGGUUUGUUGCGUCGGCUGUGAAAUCCCGAGGCUCAACCUCGGGUCUGCAGUCGAUACGAGCAAACUAGAGUGUUGCAGGGGAGACUGGAAUUCCUGGUGUAGCGGUUGAAAUGCGCAGAUAUCAGGAGGAACACCGGUGGCGAAGGCGGGUCUCUGGGCAACAACUGACGCUGAGGAGCGAAAGCGUGGGGAGCGAACAGG